GAGAUAUUUAAGUAGCAUGUUGUGUGCCAAGUUUGUGGAGAAUGGGCUGGGUCCUGCUGUUUGACUGGAGUCCCUAGUAAGAGGUCAAAGAAGGGUGGGAAACUGGGAGUUAAAUCUAUGUGGUGCUAAGCUCUAUCCCCCUCUCCUGUUUGUGAGGAAGAAUGGUAUCACUUGCAAGGGCUCACAAAAUGGCUGUUAGCACGUCACAACUGAAGCAACUUGAGAACAGAGAUGGGUGGGAGAGAAAACAGAAAAAAGAAAGAAGCAGUAUACAGAAGUCCAUCCUGCAGCCACUCAUCUCCCUGCUUCAACAAUGACCAAUAAAUGAGCU
ensembl:lncRNA